rnacentral:lncRNA from 1 species
AAAAAGUAACCCAUAUUCCUUUAUGCACAAUUUACCCAGUGAAGAUGGACAAAUUUUUGUUAUCUAUUUCUUUCCAAGUAGUUGCAAGCUCACAUGGGAUCAAACAAGUAACAAAUUGUAAAGUAGCCACAUGGAUUCAAACUGGAAACCCAGUAGCAAUCCAAACUCAGACUGUUUGAAAGUUGUGACCACUGUCUUCAUCAAUGACUAGCAAAAAGAAAUGCACCCCUUCAACUUAAAAGUAAGACCACCCUCUGAAAGCAACCCUACUAAAUAUCAAUACAUAAUGGACGAGACGAACCAUUGGCAGAAAUCGCCUAUCCUGAAACUGGUCUGCACUCAAUAUAUGGCUGAGAAGAUUCACUAUCUUCAGUGUUGGUCGAGUUAUCUAGAGUGAGUCUCAAGGAGACAGGGCUGAUGGAAAUUCGGAAAACAAGGAGUGUAAUUGCUGGGUUGCCUUUCCAACAGUCAUUCCUUUUUCCUUCUGCAACACUGUCAGAACCUACCUUCCAUUAUAGGCUGUGAAAACGCCUUUCCAAAUCUCUCUCACAGCUGAAAAAGUUGAUGCUAUUCUAGCCAGGGAGACAUGAGAGGAAACCUGCUGAGAGUCUUCUGAGAAAAGUUUUUUCUGUGAUUAAUAAUAAAAAUAAUAAUCACCAGAAGAAAGCUUAUCUCUUCCCUGGGCCCAGAGACUAAAGAGCAAACUGGAAAGUCUUCAAAGUGAGUGUGCAAAAGUCAGUGUAAUUUGAACUUCAGAAGAGUUGAUAUUACAAAUCUAUGUUUACUUUUGGAGAAUGCUUUACAGAUCAAAGGGUUGUGUCUAUCUCUUCAGACACUCUCCAAAUCAAACUGUAUUAAAUUAGAAACCAUGUUCGGAGUUCCUGUUGCGGCUCAGCAGCAACGAACCCGACUAGUACCCACAAGGAUGCUGGUUCAAUCCCUGGCCUCGCUCAGUGGGUUCAGGAUCCAGUGUUGCCGUGAGCUGUAGGUCACAGAGGCAGCUGGAUCUGGCAUUGCUGUGGCUGUGGUAUAGGCGUGCAGCUGUCAUUCGGAUUUGACCCCAAGCCUGGGAACAUCCAUGUGCUAUCGAUGUGGCCCUAAAAAAACCAAAAAAAAAAAAGAAGAAAGAGAGAAAGAAACCAUGUUUGGCAAAAAAUUAAAAUUCCUAAAGAAAACUGUCAUGUUCAGAAAAGAGUUGACAGUGACUAGUUUGCUUUGGGACAUCAAAGUUCCCCCAGAAAGGCCUAGAACAUUCUUUACAGAGAUGCUCCAGCAUGAUUAGAUAUCCUGUUUACAGCAAAUACUAUGAUAGAUUUUGCAACUGCUGUUGGUGAUCUCUGUCAAAGAAAGUAUGGGGUCAAAAUAAAAUAUUUAACUUUUUAACCUCUUCUUCAGCUUUCUCCACCAAGAGACCAUUCCUAUCGUAUUAGUCACCUCUUGUAUCCCCCUUCAAAUCCUCUCAGCCUUACCUUUCUCUUUGGCCUUUGGCCUCUUGUUCCCGCUCAGCCAAUAUCAUGGCAGCCAACUUUGUAUAAAUUCAACCAACUGCACUUGGGCAAAACAAUAGCACCCCACUUCACCUAUCUCUCACUUCCUGACCUGUGGCUUUCCUGUUGAUGCUGAGGUGUGAUACAUUCACUGCCUGCACAUAUAUACACAAUUAGGAAGUACAGGGAGAUUAAGAACCAGUGGGGAAAACCUUCACCCAAAGGGAGACAGGAGGCAACAAGUAAUUCCUCCUUCCUCAUCCUGGAAUCAGUCACUCUUAAUAAACACUCUCACAUUGUAUUUCCCUCCUUCCCUGCCUCACUCCUCUUCCCCCUUCUUGCUGUUCUCUGGAAAUUGCCCUCCCUGAUAAAGUAGUAGCACAGAAGCCUCAGGCUCUGCUUUCUAAGCAACACUGCAUUUGUUUUUCAUCGCUGUGUAACAAAUUGCCACAAAUGCAGCAGCUUAAAAACAAUGUCAGGUUACAGUUCUGCAGGUCUGAAGUUUUCUGUGGUGUGGCUGGGUUUAUUACUCAGGUUCUCGCAAGAUUGAAAUCAAGGUGUAGCCCAAGCUGUGUUCUCAUCAGGAGCUUGGAGUCUUCUUCCAGGCUUACCUGAUUGCAGAAGAAUUUGUUCCUCACAGGUGCAGGACUGAGGUUCCCAUUUCUUUGCUGGCUGUGGCGGGGGAGGGGGGGGGACUAUUCUCAGCAACUAGAGAGUACCUUCAUUCUUGUGCUUCGCAUCUCUCCAACCUCUGUUUCUGAUCUCUAAACCCAGAUUUAAAUGGCUCAUGUGAUCAGGUCAGGCCUCCAUGGACAAUGCUCUUAUCUUAAGGUCAGCUGAUUUGGAAGCUACAUCUGCAAAAUCCCUUUGGCCAUAUAAUGUACCAUAUUUACAGAUUCCAUUCCCCACCCCAAAGUGGAUGUGAUUUUACAAAGACUAGGGUCACUGGGGAUCAUCUUAGAAUUCUCCCCAUCACAGAGACAGCUGGUACCAAAAAUGGCCCUAGAAAAAGCAGACCCUUAGGAUGACAUUGUGGUGAUGGAGUACUCGAUAAUCUGAAAGCAAUAGGGUUCAAAUUACCAGUGGUAAAUGGAGUAGAAAUUCCUGGCAUGCAAUGGCAUCACAUGUGCUAAGGCUUUCCCCUGAAUUUAAUUGGUAUUACAUGGAGAUGGAAGGUGAGGCAAAGGAUAUGCAACAGCCAUGGUGCUUGAAAAGCACGGGAGCAAAUGUGACUAGACAAACUGUAGAUAGGCCUCGAUAGCAGAAUUGGAAGCUUUGAAAAAAUAAAAUGAUAGACUCACACUGACCCACUGCCAAUUCAAAGCCUGCUUUGAAAGCCAGAGGGCCUCUGAGGUAACUCUGAAGAAUAUUCUCAUCUCCUGUCACCAAAACGCAGAGCUGCUAGGGAGACAAGUCCAGUGUCUCAUUCUUAGUGGUAGAAGGAUGAGGCAAGACCUCUGGUUUUUUAUCUUAUGGGGAAAUCUUGGCACUCUCUAGAUCACUGGAUCCCUAAAAACUUCACAGUAGUUCUCUCUCUUUCUCUGGUAUGGAGAUUCUACUAGAGUAUACAUGGUACUUUCUACUUCCUGCUCACCAGAUCCAUUUAGCAGGAUGCUUUGUGACAAUCUGAUGAUUGCCCUGUGGUAGAAAGUGGGAGCAUUUACUCAGUACCAGGGCAGGAGCAUUGAAUGUUCACUGCUGUCCUUCUCACAUGUGGGUGAACUACCUUUGAUCCCCCCUUUUUAGGGGCGAUGAGGAAAUAUGAAUUCAACAGCUACUUAUCAAGUGUAAGAGGCUGUGUUGACCUGAACUGAUAAAGAUACUACGUGAAGGCCAGUACGUACAAUUGAGAGUAAUACCUGGUUAAGUCUUUGAGAGUCCAUCCAGAUUUUGCAGCAAAAUGAAAGGGAAAAUGACAGUAACCACAACACCUAUGUCUCUUAAGUCUUUCAGGUUAAUGCCAAUCUCUGCAAUCCCUCCUGGCAUGCAGUAUGCUGCUGACUUAUUAUCUUGAUGAGGGGGCAGAAUAGUGGGGAGGAGAAGUUUCAGAAGCUUUCACUUGACCUUUCCUACUCUAAUGGCCCUUACCCUACUGGUUAGGGAAACAGUGUGAGGAUUUUUGCAAUGCUAGGUACAUCUACCCUCAGGGACUGAGCAAUAACAAGAAGACAGGUUACAGAUCCAUUAGAUCCACUGUGAGAUAGACUUGGUACAGAGCUCCACUUGACACAUGACCUCCAAAAGCACCCACUCUAUCCAGAGAUCUCUGACAGUGUUUGGUUUCCCUGGAUCAUUGUUAACCUGGAACUUAUAUCUAACUGUCUUUGAAUCUGAGUAUGCCACUUUUUCCCAGUAUAGAACUACCCAGGAAAAUGUCUACAAGGCCCUCCAGGGAAAGAGAGGGGAAAAUAUUUACCUAUACCUUGUGUAAUGUUAUAAGAUCCUUCCUUAAAAGGACCUGGCCUCUCUUUCAAAGAAAAGAAUAUGGAUCUGUGAAUUGACUUAUAUCUGGAAACUGGGUGCCAUAUUUUUCUUUUGCAGUGACUAAAAUAAGCCUUCUACAUAACAGUUCUCAUUCCUUUUUUUCUUUUCUUUCUUUCUUUUCUUUCUUUCUUUUUUUUAAUGGCCUCACUUGCAUCACAUGGAAGUUCCCAGGCUAGGGGUCAAAUCAGAUCUGCAGCAGCAAGGCUCUGCCACGGCCAUAGCAAUGCCAGAUCUGAGCCACAUCUGUGACCUAUGUCAUAGCUUGCAGCAAUGCCAGACCCUUAACCCACUAUGCGAGGCCAGGGAUCAAACCCACAUCCUCAUAGAGACUAUGUCAGGUUCUUAACCCACUAAGCCACAACAGGAACUCAACUCUUUUUUUAUAUUGGCAAGAUGAGUACUAUCUUAUCUCUAAGAACAUCAAGUUCUAUUAAGCCCUCACCAGAGAUACCUGCAGGUCAGAGCACCCUAACUGCCACUCUGGUCUUGUUUUCCUUUGAUACUUAGGUGCCCUUUUUCCUUGGACCAUCAAGUAUCACCAUCUGACCUCUACCAUUCUGGAAUGCCAUUAUUCUCACUGAUAUUAAAAGAUGUUGGAGUUCCCUCAGUGCACAGUGGAAAUGUAUCCGACUAGGAACUAUGAGGCUGUGGGUUCCAUCCCUGGCCUUGCUCAGUGGGUUAAGGAUCCAGCGUUGCCAUGAGCUGUGGUAUAGGUCGCAGACAUGGCUUGGAUCCCGAGUUGCUAUGGCUCUAGUGUAGGCUGGUGGCUACAGCUCUGAUUAGACCCCUAGCCUGGGAACCUCUAUAUGCCAUGGGGGGAGGCCAAAAAAAAAAAAAAAAAAAGAUGUAAAGGUAAUAUAGCCUACAGAGGAUGACCACAAUUGAGUUUCUCAAAGACAGUUCCACUGUCACCACUUGUCUUAAUAAAGGGACUCUUCUCAGGAUCCUCAACAACAUUAUCAGGUGGUAGGUUUUCAUGGUUUUCCCUGACCUCUGACCCAUUAUGUCAAAGUAGCUCAAUUUUAUUUAUUUAUAUAUUUUUUUUAUUUUUAUUUAUUUAUUUAUUUUUUUUUGCUUUGUAGGGCUGCACCCAUGGCAUAUGGAAGUUCCCAGGCUAGGGGCCGAAUCAGAGCUGCAGCUGCCUUCCUACACCACAGCCACAGAAACAACAGAUCCUUAACACACCGAGCGAGGCCAGGGGUUGAAUUCAUAUCCUCAUGGAUACUAGUUGGGUUCGUUACCACUGAGCCACAACAGAAACUCUGAACAGAUGAUUUAGAUAACUUUAUACUCAUAUUCUGCCUUCCAUGGUCCAAUUCCCUCAAGAGUUACUCCCUAACAUGUUCCCCUCGUUCCUGCUCAGACAUAUGAAUCAGGCCCAGCAAUUUCUCCAGUGCAUAAGCUGCUUUCUCCUGAAGCAAAGACUGUCCUUCUCUGUUUGGGCUGUGCUAGCACCUGACCCUCAUUACUGGGCUGAAGAGGUAGAUACUGGUGAGAAUGGAGGCACCUGCCUGAGGUAAGCUAAACACAUUGUCUCCCAACAAGUGAAGGAUCUUUUCUUCAGCAAGGAGAAUAAGGAUGUUUUUUGCCAAUCCAGUAGUUUAAAAUGGUUUGAAGAUUCAGGAUUCUCAGGCUUGUUUG